UACAGAGGGUGCAAGCGUUAAUCGGAUUUACUGGGCGUAAAGCGCGUGUAGGCGGAUAUUUAAGUCAGAUGUGAAAGCCCCGGGCUUAACCUGGGAACCGCAUUUGAGACUGGAUGUCUAGAGUAUGGUAGAGGAUAGUGGAAUUUCCGGUGUAGCGGUGAAAUGCGUAGAUAUCGGAAAGAACACCAGUGGCGAAGGCGGCUAUCUGGACCAAUACUGACGCUGAGACGCGAAAGCGUGGGGAGCAAAC
rnacentral:rRNA from 1 species